GACGAACGCUGGCGGCGUGCUUAACACAUGCAAGUCGAACGGAAAGGCCCAGCCUUUCUUGGGUACUCGAGUGGCGAACGGGUGAGUAACACGUGAGUAAUCUGCCCUUCACUUUGGGAUAACCUCAGGAAACUGGGGCUAAUACCGGAUAGGAGCUCCUGCUGCAUGGUGGGGGUGGGAAAGUUUCGGCGGUUGGGUAUGGACGCGGCGCUUAUCAGUUUGUUGGUGGGGUAGUGGCUUACCAGGGCUUUGACGGGUAGCGGGCGUGAGAGGGUGAGCGGACACAUGGGGACUGAGAUGGGGCACAGACUCCCGGGAGAGGGCAGAGUGGGGAAUAGCACACUAUGGGCGGGCGUGAGAUGGAGCAGCGCCGCGUGGGGGGAGGGGGCUUGCGGGGUGUAAACCGCUUUCGCGUGAGACGGAGCGUGUGUGACGGUAAUGGGUGAAGAAGCACCGGCUAACUACGUG
rnacentral:rRNA from 1 species